AGCGUAGACGGAUGGACAAGUCUGAUGUGAAAGGCUGGGGCUCAACCCCGGGACUGCAUUGGAAACUGCCCGUCUUGAGUGCCGGAGAGGUAAGCGGAAUUCCCAGUGUAGCGGUGAAAUGCGUAGAUAUUAGGAGGAACACCAGUGGCGAAGGCGGCUUACUGGACGGUAACUGACGUUGAGGCUCGAAAGCGUGGGGAGCAAACA
rnacentral:rRNA from 1 species